AUUGAACGCUGGCGGCAGGCCUAACACAUGCAAGUCGAGCGGAUGAAGGGAGCUUGCUCCUGGAUUCAGCGGCGGACGGGUGAGUAAUGCCUAGGAAUCUGCCUGGCAGUGGGGGAUAACGUCUGGAAACGGGCGCUAAUACCGCAUACGUCCUGCUGGAGCAAGUGGGGGAUCUUCGGACCUCACGCUCUCAGAUGAGCCUAGGUCGGAUUAGCUAGUUGGUGGGGUAAAGGCCUACUAAGGCGACGAUCCGUAACUGGUCUGAGAGGAUGAUCAGUCACACUGGAACUGGGACACGGUCCAGACUCCUACGGGAGGCAGCAGUGGGGAAUAUUGGGCAAUGGGCGAAAGCCUGAUCCAGCCAUGCCGCGUGUGUGAAGAAGGUCUUCGGAUUGUAAAGCACUUUAAGUUGGGAGGAAGGGCAGUAAGUUAAUACCUUGCUGUUUUGACGUUACCAGCAGAAUAAGCACCGGCUAACUUCGUG
rnacentral:rRNA from 1 species